CGGAGGGUGCGAGCGUUGUCCGGAAUCACUGGGCGUAAAGGGCGCGUAGGCGGCCUGAUUAGUAGGGGGUGAAAUCCUGCGGCUUAACCGCAGGGCUGCCUUCUAAACUGUCAGGCUGGAGCACAGUAGAGGCAGGUGGAAUUCCCGGUGUAGCGGUGGAAUGCGUAGAGAUCGGGAAGAACAUCAGUGGCGAAGGCGGCCUGCUGGGCUGUUGCUGACGCUGAGGCGCGACAGCGUGGGGAGCAAACAGGAUUAGAUACCCUGGUAGUCCACGCCGUAAACGAUGGGCACUAGGCGUCGGGGGGAGCGACCCUCCCGGUGCCGUCGCUAACGCAGUAAGUGCCCCGCCUGGGGAGUACGGCCGCAAGGCUG
rnacentral:rRNA from 1 species